rnacentral:rRNA from 1 species
AGUGAACGCUGGCGGUAGGCCUAACACAUGCAAGUCGAACGGCAGCACAGUAAGAGCUUGCUCUUACGGGUGGCGAGUGGCGGACGGGUGAGGAAUACAUCGGAAUCUACUUUUUCGUGGGGGAUAACGUAGGGAAACUUACGCUAAUACCGCAUACGACCUACGGGUGAAAGCAGGGGAUCUUCGGACCUUGCGCGAUUGAAUGAGCCGAUGUCGGAUUAGCUAGUUGGCGGGGUAAAGGCCCACCAAGGCGACGAUCCGUAGCUGGUCUGAGAGGAUGAUCAGCCACACUGGAACUGAGACACGGUCCAGACUCCUACGGGAGGCAGCAGUGGGGAAUAUUGGACAAUGGGCGUAAGCCUGAUCCAGCCAUACCGCGUGGGUGAAGAAGGCCUUCGAGUUGUAAAGCCCUUUUGUUGGGAAAGAAAAGAAGCAGGUUAAUACCCCGCUGUUCUGACGGUACCCAAAGAAUAAGCACCGGCUAACUUCGUG